CGGCAAAUGGCAAAAAGAAAAACCUGGAAAUUAAGGCUCGUACCUGCUAACGAAGACACCAAUGAGCCUCUGGACUUUAUCUGCCAGCUCAGCCACGGAGUCGAGGCUGGCAGUCGGGCCUCGGUGCCCAGCCCGGCCCUGGAGCCCAGCGGCCUGCAGAGGAACCCAUGUGCAGAAACCUUUUAGAGCUCCAGCAAUCCGAUUAAGGCAGCUUUUUUCUUUUUUUUCGCAGCACUGUUGAUGCUGAGAUAAGUGUUAUAGUGGGCUCCUCGGAUCAACUCUAAAAGCACUAUUUCAUUAAACUAGGAACUCAAAUUUCUGAGUGGAACCAUUUUGGGUUUCUUUACACAUUUUGAGGGGGUAAGCUGGGGCGGAGGAACUUGCAUACACAUUUACACACACGGACCUACAGCAGCAGCCGUCAAGAUGUGAAAUAAUGACUGAGUGAGCAGUAGAUGAUGAAUAGCCAGGAGAGGAUGGAUUUUAUGCAUUUGAUUUGCAGAAAUAGAUGGGAAAUUUGAGUCUGUGUGUUGUUGCUCUGUGAGUGUUUAUGAUUGUGUGGUUUUUCAAAGACAAGCAGGUAGAACUCGAAAAGCCUCCGUAUUAUAAGUGUUCUGGCAGAGCGUCAGUCGGAUGAUGGAUGAUGUCUUCAUCGCUGGCCAAUUCUCUGAAGUUGUGGUUUGAGUGUUGGACUGAAAAACAAGAUUACAUUUAAUGGGCAUUUUCUCCCAUCCAGAAUUAACUGCAGGCUAAACACGGACAGCUCAGAAUAACAUGGCGUCCAACCAACCAACUCAGUAUCCUGUGCUAGAAGCACAACUAAAAUUGC
ensembl:lncRNA